rnacentral:rRNA from 1 species
UACAGAGGUCUCAAGCGUUGUUCGGAUUCAUUGGGCGUAAAGGGUGCGUAGGUGGCGCGGUAAGUCGGGUGUGAAAUUUCGGAGCUUAACUCCGAAACUGCAUUCGAUACUGCCGUGCUUGAGGACUGGAGAGGAGACUGGAAUUUACGGUGUAGCGGUGAAAUGCGUAGAUAUCUGGAGGAACACCGGUGGCGAAGGCGGCGUUCUGGACUGCAACUGACACUGAGGAACGAAAGCCAGGGGAGCAAACGGG